UACGUAGGGUGCAAGCGUUGUCCGGAAUCACUGGGCGUAAAGCGCGCGCAGGCGGUCAUCUAAGUCUGGGGUGAAAGCCCGGAGCUCAACUCCGGGACUGCCUUGGAUACGGGAUGACUUGAGGAUCGGAGAGGCAAGGGGAAUUCCACGUGUAGCGGUGAAAUGCGCAGAUAUCAGGAGGAACACCAGUGGCGAAGGCAGCUCACUGGCUCGAUACUGACGCUGAGGUGCGAAAGCGUGGGGAGCAAACAGG
rnacentral:rRNA from 1 species